UAAGGCUAUAGCCUUAACUUUUCGUCCAUUUUUAGCCACUUAUGUCAUUUUUCAUAAGUGGGCCAAAAACAGCAAAAAAGUAAGGCUAUAGCCCUAACUUUUCGUCCAUUUUUAGCUACUUAUGUCAUUUUUCAUAAGUGGGCAAAAAACAGCAAAAAAGUAAGGCUAUAGCCUUAACUUUUCGUCCAUUUUUAGCCACUUAUGUCAUUUUUCAUAAGUGGGCCAAAAACAGCAAAAAAGUAAGGCUAUAGCCUUAACUUUUCGUCCAUUUUUAGCUACUUAUGUCAGUUUUCAUAAGUGGGCCGAAAACAGCAAAAAAGUAUAGCCUUAACUUUUCGUCCAUUUUUAGCCACUUAUGUCAUUUUUCAUAAGUGGGCCAAAAACAGCAAAAAAGUAAGGCUAUAGCCUUAACUUUUCGUCCAUUUUUAGCCACUUAUGUCAUUUUUCAUAAGUGGGCCAAAAACAGCAAAAAAGUAAGGCUAUAGCCUUAACUUUUCGUCCAUUUUUAGCCACUUAUGUCAUUUUUCAUAAGUGGGCCAAAAACAGCAGAAAUGUAAGGCUAUAGCCUUAAGUUUUCGUCCAUUUUUAGCCACUUAUGUCAUUUUUCAUAAGUGGGCCAAAAACAGCAAAAAAGUAAGGCUAUAGCCUUAACUUUUCGUCCAUUUUUAGCCACUUAUGUCAUUUUUCAUAAGUUGGCCAAAAACAGCAAAAAAGUAAGGCUAUAGCCUUAACUUUUCGUCCAUUUUUAGCCACUUAUGUCAUUUUUCAUAAGUGGGCCAAAAACAGCAAAAAAGUAAGGCUAUAGCCUUAACUUUUCGUCCAUUUUUAGCCACUUAUGUCAUUUUUCAUAAGUGGGCCAAAAAUAGCAAAAAAGUAAGGCUAUAGCCUUAACUUUUCGUCCAUUUUUAGCCACUUAUGUCAUUUUUCAUAAGUGGGCCAAAAACAGCAAAAAAGUAAGGCUAUAGCCUUAACUUUUCGUCCAUUUUUAGCCACUUAUGUCAUUUUUCAUAAGUGGGCCAAAAACAGCAAAAAAGUAAGGCUAUAGCCUUAACUUUUCG
rnacentral:lncRNA from 1 species